CCCCUUCGGGGGAUAGAGUGACAGGUGGUGCAUGGUUGUCGUCAGCUCGUGUCGUGAGAUGUUGGGUUAAGUCCCGCAACGAGCGCAACCCUUGUCCUUAGUUGCCAGCAUUAGGUUGGGCACUCUAAGGAGACUGCCGGUGACAAACCGGAGGAAGGUGGGGAUGACGUCAAAUCAUCAUGCCCCUUAUGACCUGGGCUACACACGUGCUACAAUGGAUGGUACAAAGGGCUGCGAGACCGCGAGGUUUAGCCAAUCCCAUAAAACCAUUCUCAGUUCGGAUUGUAGGCUGCAACUCGCCUACAUGAAGCCGGAAUCGCUAGUAAUCGUGGAUCAGCAUGCCACGGUGAAUACGUUCCCGGGUCUUGUACACACCGCCCGUCACACCAUGGGAGUUGGCAACACCCGAAGUCGGUGAGGUAACUCGCAAGAGAGCCAGCCGCCUAAGGUGGGGUCGAUGACUGGGGUG
rnacentral:rRNA from 1 species